GACGAACGCUGGCGGCGUGCUUAACACAUGCAAGUCGAACGGAAAGGCCCUGCUUUUGUGGGGUGCUCGAGUGGCGAACGGGUGAGUAACACGUGAGUAACCUGCCCUUGACUUUGGGAUAACUUCAGGAAACUGGGGCUAAUACCGGAUAGGAGCUCCUGCUGCAUGGUGGGGGUUGGAAAGUUUCGGCGGUUGGGGAUGGACUCGCGGCUUAUCAGCUUGUUGGUGGGGUAGUGGCUUACCAAGGCUUUGACGGGUAGCCGGCCUGAGAGGGUGACCGGCAAAAUGGGGACGGAGAUACGGCCCAGACUCUUACGGGAGGAAGAAGUGGGGAAAAUUGCACAAGGGGCGGAAGCCGGAUGCAGCAACGCGGCGUGCGGGAUGACGGCCUUCGGGUUGUAAACCGCUUUCGCCUGUGACGAAGCGGGAGUGACGGUAAUGGGUAAAGAGCACCGGCUAACUACGUG
rnacentral:rRNA from 1 species